UCCGGAAGCCUAGAAUGCAAGUCGAACCGUAACAGGGAAGAGCUUGCUGCUUAGCUGACGAGUGGCGGACGGGUGAGUAAUGUCUGGGAAACUGCCUGAUGGAGGGGGAUAACUACUGGAAACGGUAGCUAAUACCGCAUAACGUCACAAGACCAAAGAGGGGGACCUUCGGGCCUCUUGCCAUCGGAUGUGCCCAGAUGGGAUUAGCUAGUAGGUGGGGUAACGGCUCACCUAGGCGACGAUCCCUAGCUGGUCUGAGAGGAUGACCAGCCACACUGGAACUGAGACACGGUCCAAACUCCUACGGGAGGCAGCAGUGGGGAAUAUUGCACAAUGGGCGCAAGCCUGAUGCAGCCAUGCCGCGUGUAUGAAGAAGGCCUUCGGGUUGUAAAGUACUUUCACCGGGGAGGAAGGCGACAGGGUUACUAGCCAUGGCAAUUACGAAUGCCCCCAAAGAAAGCACCACGUACAUACACGGACCCGAAGGCACAAUGAAGGAGGGGAGCGUAUAGUUCGAAGCAAAGGACCAAAUGCUCACCCGCGGGAGCAGCACCCCAACAUUUAAUUUACGGAUUAACCUUGGGGGCAGAAAUCCACAAGGGGACGAAUUAAACAUUUAACUACGGGAAACAAUCCCUCGAGGGCACACACACAACGUCGACAUCCUUUAAGGAGUGGACUACCAAGGGCUAUCAUCAUGAUUCACCCACACGCUUUGAGCCCGAAGCGACAGGCAUUGACCAGGGGGGCACCUCGCAACAGCAUUCCUACAGAUCUAUAACUAUAACACGACACCCGAUGCAAUUCACGACCCGCAGCAAAGACUCUAGACACCAGUUGCAGAGGAACACCCACCGAGAACAACACAGAUUACAUACACCGAGACAACCAACCGCCUGCGAGCAAUCUAGUCCAAUAAUUGGGAUAGAAGCUACAUCCGCACCUAUUACCAUCGUUACAGUUCCGGAAUAUGCGCUGGGUAGGUUUCGGGAGAUAAAGAAUGGCCAAGUAUUCAACGGACCUGACACUCUCACCUCCGGAAGUGAAUGGUAUUAAACACCCGAAGACAUCACCCAUUACCCGUUAUGCCCCAUGAGCUGCGCCCCCAUUGAGGAGGAGUAUAUUGC
rnacentral:rRNA from 1 species